GACAAUCGGAAGACCGUGGUGGAGCGGCGUAGAACCUUGGCGUGGGAGACACGUAGGGUUCUGGGACUUGUAGUUUUUUCCGUUAUAUCGGGUUCGUGGACUACACUUCCCAAGAUGCACAUGUAAGAAGCUAGUCCCACUGUUGGGUGAGAAGGUAAGUGUUCAGAUCCGGCUGUAGGUUUCCCGCUGAGCAUUCUUACAAGGGAUUCUAUUUGUCCUCUUUUUUCUCGAGGGGACACGGAGGAUUUGUCCCAGCAAAACCCGACGGUUUAGCCGUUCACAUGUAGCUGGAGAAUGUCAUGGAGAAAGCAGAGUCCUGAGCUCAUGGGUAGAAAAGGAAGCCAAGCCUAAAAUGUGUGCCUGUCACUAUAUAACUCCUGCAUUAUAUCAAAGACUGGUCAAAGGUUUGUCUUUACGACUAGAAAACCAGGAAAGUGUGUGUGCCUUGUCUUUUUCUGUAUCCAAAUAGCAGAAUUUACAAUGCAGGGUAAACAGUGAUUACCUAGCGUCCCAGAGGUCCUGGUUUUGGUACCCAGCACCUUGUAGAAAAAAAAAAAAAA
rnacentral:lncRNA from 1 species